UACAGAGGGGGCAAGCGUUGUUCGGAAUUACUGGGCGUAAAGGGCGCGUAGGUGGCCUUCUAAGUUGAACGUGAAAUCCCUGGGCUCAACCCAGGAACUGCGUCCAAGACUGGGAGGCUUGAAUCCGGGAGAGGGAUGCGGAAUUCCUGGUGUAGCGGUGAAAUGCGCAGAUAUCAGGAGGAACACCGGUGGCGAAGGCGGGUCUCUGGGCCGAUACUGACGCUGAGGAGCGAAAGCGUGGGGAGCGAACAGG
rnacentral:rRNA from 1 species